rnacentral:lncRNA from 1 species
UGAUUAAACUUGUGUUAUUAUAUCCUGCUCAUUAUUUUGUGUUGACAUUCUCACUUGUCUUGAAUACUUAGUAAUCUUCAUUAUGUUAAUUAGUUAGUUCAAUUCACUUUCAAUUAUUUCAACCAGCAACUUGCCAAUUCAUAGUUUCACAAUUUUUGUCUUACUUAUACAGUCUCUGUGAAGAUGAUAACUCUACACUUACUACUUUAUUACUUUUUGACGAAACUGUACACUUGGACAUUAUUCGAUAAUCUCGCG